GACGAACGCUGGCGGCGUGCUUAACACAUGCAAGUCGAACGGAAAGGCCCUGCUUUUGUGGGGUGCUCGAGUGGCGAACGGGUGAGUAACACGUGAGUAACCUGCCCUUGACUUUGGGAUAACUUCAGGAAACUGGGGCUAAUACCGGAUAGGAGCUCCUGCUGCAUGGUGGGGGUUGGAAAGUUUCGGCGGUUGGGGAUGGACCCGCGGCUUAUCAGCUUGUUGGUGGGGUAGUGGCUUACCAAGGCUUUGACGGGUAGCCGGCCUGAGAGGGUGACCGGCCACAUUGGGACUGAGAUACGGCCCAGACUCCUACGGGAGGCAGCAGUGGGGAAUAUUGCACAAUGGGCGGAAGCCUGAUGCAGCAACGCCGCGUGCGGGAUGACGGCCUUCGGGUUGUAAACCGCUUUCGCCUGUGACGAAGCGUGAGUGACGGUAAUGGGUAAAGAAGCACCGGCUAACUACGUGCCAGCAGCCGCGGUGAUACGUAGGGUGCGAGCGUUGUCCGGAUUUAUUGGGCGUAAAGGGCUCGUAGGUGGUUGAUCGCGUCGGAAGUGUAAUCUUGGGGCUUAACCCUGAGCGUGCUUUCGAUACGGGUUGACUUGAGGAAGGUAGGGGAGAAUGGAAUUCCUGGUGGAGCGGUGGAAUGCGCAGAUAUCAGGAGGAACACCAGUGGCGAAGGCGGUUCUCUGGGCCUUUCCUGACGCUGAGGAGCGAAAGCGUGGGGAGCGAACAGGCUUAGAUACCCUGGUAGUCCACGCUGUAAACGGUGGGUACUAGGUGUGGGGUCCAUUCCACGGGUUCCGUGCCGUAGCUAACGCUUUAAGUACCCCGCCUGGGGAGUACGGCCGCAAGGCUAAAACUCAAAGGAAUUGACGGGGCCCCGCACAAGCGGCGGAGCAUGCGGAUUAAUUCGAUGCAACGCGUAGAACCUUACCUGGGUUUGACAUGGAUCGGGAGUGCUCAGAGAUGGGUGUGCCUCUUUUGGGGUCGGUUCACAGGUGGUGCAUGCCUGUCGUAAGCUCGUGUCGUGAGAUGUUGGGUUAAGUCCCGCAACGAGCGCAACCCUUGUUCACUGUUGCCAGCACGUUAUGGUGGGGACUCAGUGGAGACCGCCGGGGUCAACUCGGAGGAAGGUGGGGAUGACGUCAAGUCAUCAUGCCCCUUAUGUCCAGGGCUUCACGCAUGCUACAAUGGCUGGUACAGAGAGUGGCGAGCCUGUGAGGGUGAGCGAAUCUCGGAAAGCCGGUCUCAGUUCGGAUUGGGGUCUGCAACUCGACCUCAUGAAGUCGGAGUCGCUAGUAAUCGCAGAUCAGCAACGCUGCGGUGAAUACGCUCCCGGG
rnacentral:rRNA from 1 species